rnacentral:lncRNA from 1 species
AGAUGUUAUGAAGUAACUACAGCAGAGGGAACAGGAAGUUAAAUUUCACAUCUGACACGUUCUCUCUCACUGACUUUCAAUUAAGAGGCACUGGUGAAAGCUUUAAUAAUCCUGAGUGAUGACCACAAUUAUCCUGAAACUCAUCCUUUUGACAGAGUGCUUUGGCUACUUGGCAAAUGGUACCAAUGAAUUAACAAUCAGUCAGACACCAUCAGAAAUUAAGGUAUCCACUGGAAUGUCAGCUGAAAUUACCUGUUCCUGGAAAAAUGAUGAGAUAGUCGAGCGGUUUAGAGUAACCUGGAAAAUACAACAUCUCACCUGUAAAGAGGGCAUCAGCAGAGAGUUAUCAUCAAAACUUUACUACACAGCCAAUGCCACACACAAGGAUAAGACCGUGUUAAAGAUCGAAGUUGUGAAAAGAAAUGACACUGGAACUUACUUCUGUGAGAUAACUACCGAAAUACCUUUCAUGAAAAAAGGGCUGGGAAAUGGAACAACUUUGAUUGUUGAAGAGAAAGAAGCUGGAUCAAUGGAAAGCUAUCCUUUUAUGGCAAUUCUAGCCAUCUUUCCUUUCCUAAUAUCAGGGGGCUGUUUCUAUCUCUGUUACAAAAAGCAGCAGAACUCAAAACACUCUGUGCCAGAGAGAAGGACCCAUGAGGAACAGACACUUCAGGUUACCGAAUUGGAUGAAGGAACUGAGAUAAAUGAAGCAGAUGAGAGAAAUUCUUCUUCAUCAAACUCAUCAGAAUGGGCUAUUUCCACACUUUAUGAGUCCCUUGAUUAUUUUGCAAUGAAGCAAGAUGAAGAUAAAGAUCAGGACAACAAACAAUCUGUCACUUUUGCAUCAAAUGCAGAAGAUUAGUAAAUCUCAUGACUAACAGCAGCAGCUGGGAAAUCUAGAAGAUUUGAGGAAAACAGCAAGGACCCUCCAUCCACUUUGACAUUCUAGAUUUGAAAGCUCACGUAAUUAAUGAGAGAUCGAUAAAACUGGCAAGGCCACUGAUUACAAUAGCAUAAUUUGCUUCUUGAUCUCCCAGUGUGCAACUGAAAUGCAGUGAAGUCUGUUUGCUGUCCCUGGCACACCAUUGUGACAGUGAAGCGAGUAUGGUACGAGAAGUAAGGUUGGUUCAAAAUAAUGGAGAAAAGUAUUUUUGUUAUUGACUUUCAUGCAAAAUUCCCGGAGUCUUUUGUUGUUGCUGUUUUAAAAGUUUGAUAUCUCCCUAUUUACCUGGAGGUUUAUUGUCAUGUAGUGGCUUCUCUUCCCCCAGUUCCCACUUCCCAGUGUGCAGGAGUAAACAUAACGAUGUGCAAUCAUACUGUGAGCAUUUGUCAAACUGAAUACCAUUGAACCAUUAAAAGUGUUGCCUCAGGCAAUGGACAGUAUGUGAUGGUUUAGAGGAAGGUGGAGAAAAACCCCACACUGAUAAUCACCCAGAUAGUUGGGCAAUACUCUGCACAGGAUGAAAUCCUUCCUGAUCACUGAGGGGGAUCACCAGAUGCACUGAAGCAUGAGAUUUCAUUACCCUAUCUUAGCAUGAGUGAGUUUGCAGGACAGCAUGACAUCCUAUAUAGACUAUGACAGUUAAUGUAUUAAAGUUAGCUAGAGCCUUUCUGAGUAAAGUUAUUCUCCUGCGUAUGCUAAAUAUUAUCUCACAGUUUAAAUAUUAUACAUAAUAAAAGCUAAUUAUAACCCA